CGGUGGAUCACUCGGCUCGU
rnacentral:ncRNA from 3 species